GACGAACGCUGGCGGCGUGCUUAACACAUGCAAGUCGAGCGGAAAGGCCCUUCGGGGUACUCGAGCGGCGAACGGGUGAGUAACACGUGAGAAACCUGCCCUGGACUUUGGGAUAACCCUCGGAAACGGGGGCUAAUACCGGAUAUGACAUUCGACCGCAUGGUUGUUUGUGGAAAGUUUUUCGGUCUGGGAUGGUCUCGCGGCCUAUCAGCUUGUUGGUGGGGUAAUGGCCUACCAAGGCGACGACGGGAGCCGGCCUGAGAGGGCGACCGGCCACACUGGGACUGAGACACGGCCCAGACUCCUACGGGAGGCAGCAGUGGGGAAUAUUGCACAAUGGGCGGAAGCCUGAUGCAGCGACGCCGCGUGAGGGAU
rnacentral:rRNA from 1 species